CUGGGCGCAAUGAGGAAGUUGUUUCAUUUUUGAGUGAGGUCAAAGUCCAAUGAGGAAACAUAUUAGUCCUUUUCAUUCUGAGUGCCCA